GUGGGGAAUCUUGCACAAUGGGGGAAACCCUGAUGCAGCGACGCCGCGUGAGCGAUGAAGCCCUUCGGGGUGUAAAGCUCUUUCGACAGGAACGAUUAUGACGGUACCUGGAGAAGAAGCUGCGGCUAACUACGUGCCAGCAGCCGCGGUAAUACGUAGGCAGCAAACGUUGUUCGGAAUUACUGGGCGUAAAGAGUGCGUAGGCGGUUUGCCAAGUCUGGUGUGAAAUCUCCUGGCUUAACUGGGAGGGUGCGCCGGAUACUGGUGAGCUUGAGUAUGGGAGAGGGAAGCGGAAUUCCUGGUGUAGCGGUGAAAUGCGUAGAUAUCAGGAGGAACACCUGUGGUGUAGACGGCUUCCUGGACCAUCACUGACGCUGAGGCACGAAAGCGUGGGGAGCAAACAGGAUUAGAUACCCUAGUAGUCC
rnacentral:rRNA from 1 species